AACGAACGCUGGCGGCAGGCCUAAAACAUGCAAGUCGAACGAUGUAGCAAUACAUAGUGGCGCACGGGUGCGUAACGCGUGGGAACAUACCCUUUGGUUCGGAAUAACGCAGGGAAACUUGUGCUAAUACCGAAUGUGCCCUUCGGGGAAAGAUUUAUCGCCAUUAGAGCGGCCCGCGUUAGAUUAGCUAGUUGGUGAGG
rnacentral:rRNA from 1 species